CUCUCCCUUAUCGCUAUGUUACACUUCAAUCUGAAAUGGUGCUUGAAACAUCAUGAGUUUAAACAGUUUCCUCAGCUGGAAGCUGUUUUGGGAGUUGUGAAACCUUAAAGAGGUAACACCAUGUAACCAGCGGCCGCUGCCUCUACCCAUCAAUAUGGACAAGUCUCUAGCCAUUAUAUUUUACUCAUGAUGAUGGGCCAUACAAGUCUGAAAUGAAAUAAAUUCAUUCUCCCUCA